GACGAACGCUGGCGGCGUGCCUAAUACAUGCAAGUUGAGCGCUGAAGGUUGGUACUUGUACCAACUGGAUGAGCAGCGAACGGGUGAGUAACGCGUGGGGAAUCUGCCCUUGAGCGGGGGACAACAUUUGGAAACGAAUGCUAAUACCGCAUAAAAACUUUAAACACAAGUUUUAAGUUUGAAAGAUGCAAUUGCAUCACUCAAAGAUGAUCCCGCGUUGUAUUAGCUAGUUGGUGAGGUAAAGGCUCACCAAGGCGAUGAUACAUAGCCGACCUGAGAGGGUGAUCGGCCACAUUGGGACUGAGACACGGCCCAAACUCCUACGGGAGGCAGCAGUAGGGAAUCUUCGGCAAUGGACGAAAGUCUGACCGAGCAACGCCGCGUGAGUGAAGAAGGUUUUCGGAUCGUAAAACUCUGUUGGUAGAGAAGAACGUUGGUGAGAGUGGAAAGCUCAUCAAGUGACGGUAACUACCCAGAAAGGGACGGCUAACUACGU
rnacentral:rRNA from 1 species